rnacentral:rRNA from 1 species
GUUGAACGCUAGCGGCAGGCCUAACACAUGCAAGUCGAACGAGUGGCGGACGGGUGAGUAAAGUCUGGGAAACUGCCUCCUGGUGGGGGAUAACUACUGGAAACGGUAGCUAAUACCGCAUAUCAUCUGAUGUGCCCAGAUGGGAUUCGCUAGUAGGUGGGGUAACGGAUCACCUAGGCGACGAUCCCUAGCUGGUCUGAGAGGAUGACCAGCCACACUGGAACGGAGACACGGUACAGACGACUACGGGAGGCAGCGGUGGGGAAUAUUGUACAAUGGGCGCAAGCCUGAUGCAGCCCUGCCGCGUGGAUGAAGAAGGCCUGCGGGUUGGAAAGUACUUUCAGUGGGGAGGCGUUACCCGCAGAAGAAGCACCGGCUAACUCCGUGCCAGCAGCCGCGGUAAUAC